rnacentral:tRNA from 1 species
GCUUCAGUGGCUCAGUUGGUUAAGCCUCUGACUUCCACUCAGAUUAUGAUCUCAGGGUCCUGGGAUCGAGUCCCAGGUCAGGCU